UACGUAGGUGGCAAGCGUUGUCCGGAUUUACUGGGCGUAAAGAGCGCGCAGGCGGUUGAUUAAGUCGAAUGUGAAAGCCCCCGGCUCAACUGGGGAGGGUCAUUCGAUACUGAUCGACUUGAAGGCAGGAGAGGGAAGUGGAAUUCCGGGUGUAGUGGUGGAAUGCGUAGAUAUCCGGAGGAACACCAGUGGCGAAGGCGACUUCCUGGCCUGUUCUUGACGCUGAGGCGCGAAAGCUGGGGGAGCAAACGGG
rnacentral:rRNA from 1 species